GACGAACGCUGGCGGCGUGCUUAACACAUGCAAGUCGAACGGAAAGGCCCUGCUUUUGUGGGGUGCUCGAGUGGCGAACGGGUGAGUAACACGUGAGUAACCUGCCCUUGACUUUGGGAUAACUUCAGGAAACUGGGGCUAAUACCGGAUAGGAGCUCCUGCUGCAUGGUGGGGGUUGGAAAGUUUCGGCGGUUGGGGAUGGACUCGCGGCUUAUCAGCUUGUUGGUGGGGUAGUGGCUUACCAAGGCUUUGACGGGUAGCCGGCCUGAGAGGGUGACCGGCCACAUGGGGACUGAGAUACGGCCGAGACUCCUACGGGGGGCAGCAGGGGGGAAUAUUGCACAAGGGGCGGAAGCCUGAUGCAGCACCGCCGCGUGCGGGAUGACGGCCUUCGGGUUGUAAACCGCUUUCGCCUGUGACGAAGCGUGAGUGACGGUAAGGGGUAAAGAAGCACCGGCUAACUACG
rnacentral:rRNA from 1 species